GGGGAAUUGUUCGCAAUGGGCGCAAGCCUGACGACGCAACGCCGCGUGGAGGAUGAAGAUUUUCGGAUCGUAAACUCCUUUCGAUCGGGACGAAUCGGUCGCGACCUAACACGUCGUGGCACUGACGGUACCGCGAGAAGAAGCCCCGGCUAACUCCGUGCCAGCAGCCGCGGUAAUACGGGGGGAGCAAGCGUUGUUCGGAUUUACUGGGCGUAAAGGGCGCGUAGGCGGCCACCGCAAGUCGGUUGUGAAAUCUCCGGGCUUAACCCGGAAAGGUCAAUCGAUACUGCGGGGCUAGAGUGCAGAAGGGGCAACUGGAAUUCUCGGUGUAGCGGUGAAAUGCGUAGAUAUCGAGAGGAACACCUGCGGCGAAGGCGGGUUGCUGGGCUGACACUGACGCUGAAGCGCGAAAGCUAGGGGAGCGAAC
rnacentral:rRNA from 1 species